GACGAACGCUGGCGGCGUGCUUAACACAUGCAAGUCGUACGGUAAGGCCCUUUCGGGGGUACACGAGUGGCGAACGGGUGAGUAACACGUGAGUAACCUGCCCACAACUUUGGGAUAACGCUAGGAAACUGGUGCUAAUACUGGAUAUGUGCUCCUGCUGCAUGGUGGGGGUUGGAAAGCUCCGGCGGUUGUGGAUGGACUCGCGGCCUAUCAGCUUGUUGGUGGGGUAGUGGCCUACCAAGGCGGCGACGGGUAGCCGGACUGAGAGGGUGACCGGCCACAUUGGGACUGAGAUACGGCCCAGACUCCUACGGGAGGCAGCAGGGGGGAAUAUUGCACAAUGGGCGCAAGCCUGAUGCAGCAACGCCGCGGGCGGGAUGACGGCCUUCGGGUUGUAAACCGCUUUCAGCAGGGACGAAGCUUUUUGUGACGGUACCUGCAGAAGAAGCACCGGCUAACUACGUG
rnacentral:rRNA from 1 species